rnacentral:rRNA from 1 species
GUAUUUCCAGAAGAGUUGCCAGGCAUGCCACCAGAUAGAGACAUUGAGUUCUUGAUUGAACUUUUGCCAGGCACAGGGCCAAUAUCUAAGAGACCGUACAGGAUGCCCGCUAAGGAUUUGGAGGAAAUUAAGAAGCAGAUCAAGGAGUUACUGCAUAAAGGCUAUAUUCGCCCAAGUUCGUCACCUUGGGGAUCACCAGUACUUCUAGUGGAGAAGAAAGAUGGAUCACUAAGGAUGGUUGUUGAUUACCGAGGAUUGAAUGAAGUGACCAUCAAAAACAAGUACCCACUGCCAAUGAUAAAUGAU